ensembl:lncRNA
CUUCUUUUCUUAGUGUGUCAUCAAUCUUUUUUAAAGGUCUUCCCAGCUCUAUCAUCACUCAGAGAUGCAGGAAGAAGAUCCUGCAGGGCACUGUGGAAAGAUCCGCAUCCAGCAGUACUGUUUGGACAGUCGUACUCGACCAUCAUUUCCCAAACGUGAGAUGUUCAGCUGCUGCUCAGGAUGUCCCCACCAAGGGGAGCAUCCCUCCUUGGACACUGAUCUCUGCAGUCCUGAUGCUGAAUUAUUCUGGGAAGGAGUAUCAGGGGAACAAAUUAGUGAGGUGUUCUUACCAGAAAAUCCCGUGGCUACAGCUACCUGCAAGCAACAGGGCCCAGAGACUUGUACUUCCCUAUUCUGAUGCCUAAGCUUGAGGUUUGCCAGCACCUCUUGGUGAGCAGGAAGCCUCCAGCUGUGUUAGCUCUUCUGGCAUGGCAAUUGCUCCAAAGGAGUUUCUCCAUCCUCCCUAUCUUUGCCUUAGUGGAAGGCUGAGAAGCCCUUGGCUGCCAGCCAUUCCAAUACAUCUUGCAGGUGGGAUACUUCUGCAGCACAAUCCCGUGUUCUGCCCUGGGUGAAGUUAGCCAGGACUUUGCACUCUCAAGGUCUUCAUCCAAAGCAGAAGUAACACAGCAAAAUGGACGUCAUGCUCAACCAAGAAGUAGUUGACACUAUCAGGACUUGGAGGAAUUAAAAUAAAUGACCAAAGUAAUUUUUGGCAGAGGACUCGAUUUCAAAGGACAAUGCACUGUCCAUUCUUCCCAGGGGAUGUUCUGGGAUAGACCUGCAUGAGUAACCUACAGCCAUUUUGAGCCAUCCCCUACUGCCCUCAGCAAGAACUUUCUGACCAAAACUUCAGGUGGAACGUACCAGCUAAGUGUGCUCAAGAUAUAUCACCCAAAGGACUGACACCACCAGCAGGACCAAAAGGAUGAUGUGUUCAGCAUGCUCAGGUUGGGCUUCAUGCCCAAAGGCAGCUGGUUUGUCCUCAUGGGGCAAGUCCUGCAUUGCCCAGGAACCACACUGUGCAAAUCCAUCGUGGAGGCUAGAACACAUCCAUGCAUGGAUCCUGAAGACUAACCUUGUCCCCUUCUCCAGGUGCCUGGGAACCUUGGCCACACACACGUACAGACCAGCCAGGUGCUGCAGGAAGCAGCAGGAUGAUAGAUGGCACCUGCAAGCUGAGAGGUACACGCACAAAACCCAUUUUUUUCUCCGCAAGGUUCAAAUAUUUUUGCUCCAUCUGAGGCUUGGAUCCAGGUUCUCCUGCAUGGCAGUCAGAGAUGCUGGAAAAGGCUCAACAUUAGAGCUCAGGAAUGGGGGCUCAGGUUCUGUUCCCCAGCUUAGGGCAGUGCUGGUAAAGAUCUGCCCUCACCCAGGCGCCUGGGAAGCUUUUGGCUGCUGCUGGCAUUAGUGCAGAAAGCAAGAAGACAUUUACUUCCAGGAACAGAUGCAAACACGGGGAAUUGCCAAUUGGCCAAAAUCAAAUACAACCUGACCUCUGAUGAUCUGCAGCCUUACUACUUUCAAACAACACUGCACUCAAUAUUGGCAAUAUAAUAGUUUACCUUGGAGACCCAAGGGCUAAAGGAGAAAUGAAACCUGAAGCUGCUGGAGAUGUUGCUUUUCCACUGUUUCUAUUACCGAUAACAGGCCAGCAAAACCCCACGAGGUCCUUGAGCUCUAGGAGAGCCUGCCUGCACCUCCUCCCCAAGACUUCGUGCCAAAAUACCCCAAAACUUAAGAGCUGGGCUUUAUCAGAGCACCUGAUAAAUAUAGAAAGUAGAGAAUGAGCUGGAAUAGUGAUGUUCUACCCUGGGAGGAAGGUCCUUUCUUUUGGGUUUCCUUUCAGUCCUGCAACCUCCCAGCGAUCCCCUGGGUAAUCACAAAGCCUUGCUGCCCCCAGAAAAGCCCCUUUCUUUCCUUUGAAGGGGAGCUGACACCCACAGGGAACAAACCCUAAGUCAGAAAUAAUGGGAGUCCUUUGAAAAAAACCAAAAACAUCCGAGUCUGAAUAUAACCACAAGGAAAAAAAUGGAAACUUAUCUGCAAUAUGCACCCCCUCCCAAGCAAAUUAAUACCCUGGACCAGAGCCUUGUCCAGAAGCAGUGUAAAUAUCUCAGCAACUCAUUACCUUGUUAAUUGGAUCACUCCAAGCUUUUUGGAACCAGUCUAAAGCACAGUCAAAUCCAUUAAAAAAUGGAUUUCUUAUUUCUCUAUAGCUGUCUCUAGCUUUAGUGCUUUUUCUAUUAAACAUUGGCUAGAGUAGCUUCUCCCUUUACCUCAACUCUUUCCCAGCAAGGCACUUCCUACAUUUUUGAUGUGUGCCCUUCUUCCUGCCCCCGAGGUGCCGUGUGGGUGCUGGUAGGGUACGCUGGGAGCAAUAACCCUCCUCCUGCCAAACUGCCCCUCCUCAUCCUGUUCCCACAUCCUGGGAUCUCCCUCACUUGGAUGCUCCAACCCCAGCACAGAGGAGAAAUGCAUCCGGGGACACUCUGAGCUGCACUUUGCACUUAUUUCCUAAGAAACUAAAGAUGUGUGUGGGGGGGAACCAACACAUUGCUUCCAUCCCCUGUACAAACCUUUCACUUACCAAGGCAUCCACGUGCUUGCCUACUGAUUAAGAGCACUAGGGCCACUGUGUGAGAUUGGACACGACAGCAGCAUAAGGGGAGCCAUAUGCUCCGCCAGGAGAGGAGCAUACAGCCAUUAGGAGGGGGGCUGGUGCUCAGGGCCAUGGCUGAAGCUGCAGGGAUGUGGGUGCUGCUCCCCUCACAGUUCAGCCUUUCACAUCCCCAAGGACCAGCGAU